rnacentral:rRNA from 1 species
CAGUCGCCGCGGUAAUACGAAGAGGGCUAGCGUUGCUCGGAAUGACUGGGCGUAAAGGGCGCGUAGGCGGUUUGGCAAGUUUGGUGUGAAAUCUUCGGGCUCAACUCGAAGUCUGCAUCGAAAACUGCCGGGCUUGAGUAUGGGAGAGGUGAGUGGAACUUCCGGUGUAGCGGUGAAAUGCGUAGAUAUCGGAAGGAACACCUGUGGCGAAAGCGGCUCACUGGACCAUUACUGACGCUGAGGCGCGAAAGCUAGGGGAGCAAACAGGAUUAGAUACCCCCGUAGUCCCUGUCUCUUAUAC